GGCCCGCACAAGCGGUGGAGCAUGUGGUUUAAUUCAAUGCAACGCGAAGAACCUUACCUGGUCUUGACAUCCACGGAAGUUUUCAGAGAUGAGAAUGUGCCUUCGGGAACCGUGAGACAGGUGCUGCAUGGCUGUCGUCAGCUCGUGUUGUGAAAUGUUGGGUUAAGUCCCGCAACGAGCGCAACCCUUAUCCUUUGUUGCCAGCGGUCCGGCCGGGAACUCAAAGGAGACUGCCAGUGAUAAACUGGAGGAAGGUGGGGAUGACGUCAAGUCAUCAUGGCCCUUACGACCAGGGCUACACACGUGCUACAAUGGCGCAUACAAAGAGAAGCGACCUCGCGAGAGCAAGCGGACCUCAUAAAGUGCGUCGUAGUCCGGAUUGGAGUCUGCAACUCGACUCCAUGAAGUCGGAAUCGCUAGUAAUCGUGGAUCAGAAUGCCACGGUGAAUACGUUCCCGGGCCUUGUACACACCGCCCGUCACACCAUGGGAGUGGGUUGCAAAAGAAGUAGGUAGCUUAACCUUCGGGAGGGCGCUUACCACUUUGUGAUUCAUGACUGG
rnacentral:rRNA from 1 species